rnacentral:rRNA from 1 species
AACGAACGCUGGCGGCAUGCCUAACACAUGCAAGUCGAACGAAGGCUUCGGCCUUAGUGGCGCACGGGUGAGUAACGCGAGGGAAACUGCCUAUUGGUGGGGAAUAACGACGGGAAACUGUCGCUAAUACCGCAUAAGCCCUUCGGGGGAAAGAUUUAUCGCCGAUAGAUGUGCCCGCGUCCGAUUAGCUAGUUGGUGAGGUAAUGGCUCACCAAGGCGACGAUCGGUAGCUGGUCUGAGAGGAUGAUCAGCCACACUGGGACUGAGACACGGCCCAGACUCCUACGGGAGGCAGCAGUGGGGAAUAUUGCACAAUGGGCGAAAGCCUGAUCCAGCAAUGCCGCGUGAGUGAUGAAGGCCUUAGGGUUGUAAAGCUCUUUCGGGUGGGACGAUGAUGACGGUACCACCAGAAGAAGCCCCGGCUAACUUCGUGCCAGCCGCCGCUGUAA